CGUUUAGGGGUAAACCUGAGAAACCCGAAAGGUCGAAGGGAGAAAUUCAUUCGUGGAUCGCCAUUGACUAGAUUGUGUGUGUUUGACAAUAAAUAAAUUUAAAUUAUCUAUAUGGUGAUUUGAAUUUAUAAGUUGCUACAUGUCUAUUCUAUUUGUUUGAUGGUGGACACGUGCAUUUUUCUUCUGGUAGGACGUUGCGAUCCGUUAGGAAUUUAUCGAUCUAUGAUGUCUUAUGGUAUAGUUCAUUGAUACAUUUUAUAGUAUUAUAAUAUGUCUAUAUUAAUGAAGCCGUACAUUCUGGUCGAUUCACCUGACGGUAUUAUAAUGGUUAAAAGUCGCUAAUAUAUUUAUAAGCGUUAGAGGUUGGACAAGUGUAUAAAUUGUGUAAAGACAAUAUUAUUAUUCGUAGUAGUAUUGUUCUCGGUAAUUGAUACUUGUAUCAAUUCCGGGCCGUUUAUAUGCUGUUUGUCUGACAAAUCUCUAACAGACUUUAUUGUUAUUUUAACAAAACCAAUCAGCAACGCUAUAGCUUUGGGUACUUUCAGGACCCGUCUUGAAACACGGACCAAGGAGUCUAGCAUGUGCGCAAGCCAUUGGGAUAUUUAAAACCUAUAGGCGCAAUGAAAGUAAAAAUUUUGUUUCAUCUUGUAUGAAAUUAAAGGGAAGAUGAUUAAUGUUUAGUGCAUAUUUAAUAAAUAUGUUACUUUUAUGCAUUAUUUCGCAUUCCCGGGGCGUUUAAAUUUCAUUUAUAUACAUUAGUAUUUAGAUGAGAUUAUGCGCACCAAGAGUGUACACGCUGGGACCCGAAAGAUGGUGAACUAU
rnacentral:rRNA from 1 species